rnacentral:lncRNA from 1 species
GUCAUGAUCCGUGUGCAUCAUGUCCACAAGUGUCAGUUGCAUUGUCCACUGAAAGCUGAUUGACAAACCUGAUGUUUGUAGAGCUCAGCAACACCCUCUGCCUGCCAUUACCCGCUCGUGACGCCGCUGCUCCGCCACCUGCUGCUCUUCAACAGGGUGUGGAUGCCGCAGGUGAGGAGUGAGUCGUAUCUGCUGGUGUGUGCCGAGGGGACUGAACUGCAGCUGUGGGAGCGACACUGCAGCGCUGAUCUGUCCUGAAGAACAGACACUAGAUAGUCUACAGCAGCAUGGACUGUGAUCUGUUCUUCUCUAUUCUUCAGUUCCAGCCUAUAACACAUUUUCAGCGUCACAGCCACAUGAUUCAGUGAAUGGGGCAUUUAAAUCUGCACCAUAUUCUGGUUGCGCUCAUAUUCUGAAUAUGAUGUUUAUAUGCUUAAAUACGGUAGUUUUAGGUCUGCUGAUCUACACAUGCAC